rnacentral:tRNA from 1 species
GGCUGAGAUUUAGGUAAUAAACUGUAAAUUUAUUUAGGAAAUAUUAAUUUCUUUUACCA